rnacentral:rRNA from 1 species
UACGGAGGAUGCGAGCGUUAUCCGGAUUUAUUGGGUUUAAAGGGUGCGUAGGCGGGCUGUUAAGUCAGCGGUAAAAGCCCGGGGCCCAACCCCGGGACUGCUUUGGAAACUGCCAUGCUAGAGUGCUGGAGAGGUAAGCGGAAUUCCUAGUGUAGCGGUGAAAUGCGUAGAUAUUAGGAGGAACACCAGUGGCGAAGGCGGCUUACUGGACAGUAACUGACGUUGAGGCUCGAAAGCGUGGGGAGCAAACAGG